GAUGAACGCUGGCGGCGUGCCUAAUACAUGCAAGUCGAGCGAACAGACGAGGAGCUUGCUCCUCUGACGUUAGCGGCGGACGGGUGAGUAACACGAGGAUAACCUACCUAUAAGACUGGGAUAACUUCGGGAAACCGGAGCUAAUACCGGAUAAUAUAUUGAACCGCAUGGUUCAAUAGUGAAAGACGGUUUUGCUGUCACUUAUAGAUGGAUCCGCGCCGCAUUAGCUAGUUGGUAAGGUAACGGCUUACCAAGGCGACGAUGCGUAGCCGACCUGAGAGGGUGAUCGGCCACACUGGAACUGAGACACGGUCCAGACUCCUACGGGAGGCAGCAGUAGGGAAUCUUCCGCAAUGGGCGAAAGCUUGACGGAGCAACGCCGCGCGAGUGAUGAAGGUCUUCGGAUCGUAAAACUCUGUUAUUAGGGAAGAACAAAUGUGUAAGUAACUAUGCACGUCUUGACGGUACCUAAUCAGAAAGCCACGGCUAACUACGUG
rnacentral:rRNA from 1 species